CCAAUAGCGUAUAUUAAAGUUGUUGCAGUUAAAAAGCUCGUAGUUGAAUUUCGGGAUCAAUAUGUCGGUCGUGCCUUCGGUACGUACUGGUAUCAUUGGUCUCUCCUUUCUGACGAACCAUGAUGUCAUUAAUUUGGUGUUAUGGGGAGUUAGGACUGUUACUUUGAAAAAAUUAGAGUGUUUAAAGCAGGCUUUAGCUUGAAUACAUUAGCAUGGAAUAAUGAAAUAGGACGUUUGAUCCUAUUUUGUUGGUUUCUAGGAUUGACGUAAUGAUUAAUAGGGAUAGUUGGGGGCAUUAGUAUUCAAUUGUCAGAGGUGAAAUUCUUGGAUUUAUUGAAGACUAACUACUGCGAAAGCAUUUGCCAAGGAUGUUUUCAUUAAUCAAGAACGAAAGUUAGGGGAUCGAAGACGAUCAGAUACCGUCGUAGUCUUAACCAUAAACUAUGCCGACUAGGGAUCGGAUGAUGUUAAUUUUUUAAUGACUCAUUCGGCGCCUUACG
rnacentral:rRNA from 1 species